rnacentral:rRNA from 1 species
UACGAAGGGGGCUAGCGUUGCUCGGAAUCACUGGGCGUAAAGGGUGCGUAGGCGGGUCUUUAAGUCAGGGGUGAAAUCCUGGAGCUCAACUCCAGAACUGCCUUUGAUACUGAAGAUCUUGAGUUCGGGAGAGGUGAGUGGAACUGCGAGUGUAGAGGUGAAAUUCGUAGAUAUUCGCAAGAACACCAGUGGCGAAAGCGACACCCUGGCAUUAGCCUGACGCUCAUGUGCGAAGGCGUGGGGAGCGAACGGG